AGAGUUUGAUCCUGGCUCAGAACGAACGCUGGCGGCAGGUUUAACACAUGCAAGUCGAACGCGUGUAGCAAUACACGAGUGGCGCACGGGUGAGUAACACGUGGAUUAUCUGCCUUUUGGUUCGGAAUAACCCCGGGAAACUGGGGCUAAUACCGGAUAGUUCCUACGGGAUAAAGAUUUAUCGCCAAAAGAUGAGUCCGCGUCCGAUUAGCUAGUUGGCGGGGUAAUGGCCCACCAAGGCGACGAUCGGUAGCUGGUCUGAGAGGACGAUCAGCCACACUGGGACUGAGACACGGCCCAGACUCCUACGGGAGGCAGCAGUGGGGAAUAUUGGACAAUGGGGGCAACCCUGAUCCAGCCAUGCCGCGUGAGUGAUGAAGGCCUUCGGGUUGUAAAGCUCUUUUGGCGGGGACGAUGAUGACGGUACCCGCAGAAUAAGCCCCGGCUAACUUCGUGCCAGCAGCCGCGGUAAGACGAAGGGGGCUAGCGUUGUUCGGAAUUACUGGGCGUAAAGCGCGUGUAGGCGGCUGCCAAAGUCGGGUGUGAAAGCCUUGAGCUCAACUCAAGAAUGGCACUCGAUACUUGGUGGCUAGAGGACCGGAGAGGAUAGUGGAAUUCCCAGUGUAGUGGUGAAAUACGUAGAGAUUGGGAAGAACACCAGUGGCGAAGGCGGCUAUCUGGACGGUUUCUGACGCUAAGACGCGAAAGCGUGGGGAGCAAACAGGAUUAGAUACCCUAGUAGUCC
rnacentral:rRNA from 1 species